rnacentral:lncRNA from 12 species
AUUGUCAACUCUAAGGAGCAGUUGGCACACUUGUAACUGAGUUGCUUUAUAAGAGGGAGUAAAGGACUUUUUGUUUUUAUUUUGUUUCCUUAUCCAGUACAUGAAGCAUGAUGAUCAAUUCCAAUAGAAGACAAAAGAAUGUGCUAUGGAAAGAAUGAAGCACUUUUUAUUCACAAAGUAUGGAACUGGUAAAACACUUAAUUUGGG